rnacentral:rRNA from 1 species
AACGAACGCUGGCGGCAUGCCUAACACAUGCAAGUCGAACGAGACCUUCGGGUCUAGUGGCGCACGGGUGCGUAACGCGUGGGAACCUGCCCUUAGGUUCGGAAUAACUCCCCGACAGGGGGGCUAAUACCGGAUAAUGUCUUCGGACCAAAGAUUUAUCGCCUUUGGAUGGGCCCGCGUUGGAUUAGCUAGUUGGUAGGGUAAAAGCCUACCAAGGCGACGAUCCAUAGCUGGUCUGAGAGGAUGAUCAGCCACACUGGGACUGGGACACGGCCCAGACUCCUACGGGAGGCAGCAGUGGGGAAUAUUGGACAAUGGGCGAAAGCCUGAUCCAGCAAUGCCGCGUGAGUGAUGAAGGCCUUAGGGUUGUAAAGCUCUUUUACCCGGGAUGAUAAUGACAGUACCGGGAGAAUAAGCUCCGGCUAACUCCGUG